UGGAAAAGGAUGUGGGAUUUCGAAGACAACUAGGAUGUUGGCUCAGAAGCAGCCAUACAUUCAAAGAGUGCGUAACAGCUCACUAGUCGAGAGUUCCUGCGCCGAAAAUGUCCGGGGCUGAAACACGACACCGAAGCCGUGGACUCGCAAUGCGAGUGGUAGAGGAGCAUUCUUAAAACCGACGAAGCUGUACCGGAAGGAGCAGUGGAGGGAUAAGAAGAGAGAAUGCCGGAAUGAGUAGCGAGAGAAAGGUGGGAAUCCUUUCGGCCGAAUAUCUAAGGUUUCCAGAGUAAAGCUGAUCUGCUCUGGGUAAGUCGGGGCCUAAGCACAGGUCGCAAGACGUAAGCGAUGGAUAACAGGUUUAGAUUCCUGUACCACGCAUUAUCAGAACUGUAGGGACGCAUGUGGAAAGCACGGGCCGGGAAUGGAAAGACCGGUACAAGCGAGGUAGGUGUACAAUAGGCAAAUCCGUUGUAUAAUCCGAAGACGUGAUGUGGAGCGAAAUAAAGUAGUGAAGCGUGUGAGCCAUGUGCCGAGAAAAGCUGCUAUUGUGUAAUGCGUGCCCGUACCGUAAACCGACACAGGUGGAUGAGGAGAGAAUCCUAAGGCCGGCGGAAGAAGCAUUGUUAAGGAAUUCGGCAAAAUGACCCCGUAACUUCGGGAGAAGGGGUGCCUGCGAGAGCAGGCCGCAGAGAAUAGGCUCAAGCAACUGUUUAGCAAAAACACAGGUCUAUGCGAAACCGAAAGGUGAGGUAUAUGGGCUGACGCCUGCCCGGUGCUGGAAGGUUAAGAGGAGAGGUUAGAGUAAUCGAAGCCUUGAAUUUAAGCCCCAGUAAACGGCGGCCGUAACUAUAACGGUCCUAAGGUAGCGAAAUUCCUUGUCGGGUAAGUUCCGACCCGCACGAAAGGCGUAAUGAUUUGAGCGCUGUCUCGACAAUGCAUCCGGUGAAAUUGAAGUACCAGUGAAGAUGCUGGUUACCUGCGCCAGGACGGAAAGACCCCAUGGAGCUUUACUCCAGUCUGGUACUGGGACUCGGUAUUGCAUGUACAGGAUAGGUGGGAGGCUAGGAGAUGGUAACGCCAGUUGCCAUGGAGCCGCUGUUGGGAUACCACCCUUGCAGUAUUGGGUUUCUAACCAGCCGCCGUGACCCGGCGGUGGGACAAUGCCAGACGGGGAGUUUGACUGGGGCGGUCGCCUCCGAAAGGGUAUCGGAGGCGCCCAAAGGUUCCCUCAGAAUGGACGGAAACCAUUCGAAGAGUGCAAAGGCAGAAGGGAGCUUGACUGCGACACCGACGGGUGGAGCAGGUACGAAAGUAGGACUUAGUGAUCCGGUGGUAUGAAAGUGGGAUUGCCAUCGCUCAACGGAUAAAAGCUACCCUGGGGAUAACAGGCUU
rnacentral:rRNA from 1 species